UGGUUUCCAUCCUUGGAAGGGGCCCAGAAAAAUGAGGGCCAAUUGUCUUCAGUUAUGCCCGUCGACUCAUAUCCACAUCCAUUUGGAAGUCCAGAUUCAAUGCCUGGAAGUCAAUUCACCUUCCCCUCAAACCAUCGCUCUUCCCUCUUUCCUUUCUCUAAAGUCUGGCUUUGGAAGUUCAAGCCCCAGUGCCACCACACUAACUCUAGAGUCAGGCGGUCUGGGCUACCCUUCUGCCGCCUACCACACGUGGGACACACUGGGUCCUCCUACCCAUCACCCACCAACCUUCCAUUUUGAUUUCCAUCCUAGGGAAGUGUAACUGGACACCUAUGCAUCGAAGCGUAGUCUUCAUCCUCUUCACCGAAUUCACUCACUGAGAAACUGCUGUGGGGUUACUGUACAAACAGGUCCAUCCAAAGGCUUUCCACAUUGGCCUGCCUCAUCCUUUGGGCCAUGUGUGCAUAGAUGCGGCCUUCAGUCCAACGAGGCAGGGGCACCCUGAGUCAUCUCCUGCCAUCUGGGCCUCCCCUUCCUACAAGCAGCUUUGUGUUUGCUGUGACCAGCCGAGAGAGCUUUGCUUCAUCGACAAUAGGAAAAUGUGUCGACCAGUCUGCAGGAAGGCUCAGAAGGUUCCUAAAGCAGUGUACCUGACAUCAGCAGGGGGACCUGAUUCGUGACUGCAAGGUGGCUGCCUCGCUGCUGCUGCACUGCUGCUGCUGCUGCCCCUGGAGAGCGAAUGGAGGGUGGCGUGGUCAAUCUCUUCCCAAGCAAGACACUCAAAGCAUAGCUGUCUGCUGUCAUCAUGCAUUUGAUACCACGGCAAGCACAUGGAACUCCUGUUAAAAGCUAGAGGGCCUCUGCAGUACGGAGGGAGCCACUGGAUAGAUGCAAGCUCUUUGAAGCAGGAUAUAAACACAUGAAGGCAACAGUCAGGCAUCGUAACAUUUUAUGGUGGAAUAAAAACAAAAACAAAAAACAUAGCAAAGAGGAUGAGGACCAAAGCAUUUCAUGUGGAACCUCUACUGUUUUAGUUACACCUGAGAGAGGAGAGGACCCCUGACUUCAAUUGAAGACAGCUAAAUAGGCCCUUGGGAAGAAGAUAGCUGUCUGGCUGGAGCCAAACUGCUUCCACAAGCCCGGCGUAAGGCCGCAAAGAGGACAAGAGAGGAGGAAAAUAUUGUAAUAAUGAAAUGUCAGCAGAUUAAUAAUCGUGAAUGCUUCCUUACUUGGGUGAACCCAAUUCACCACCAGUGAGCAGGAAUUGAGGGUAAAGAAUGAGCUCCAAGAACUGAAUAGGCAGAGUUCCUCCUAGAAUAAACCAAGGUCACUGUGGAGGUCGCUGGCAAGGAAGUCUGAAGUGGCCUGGACUGGAAUGGCUUGUGUUGAAGGGAAAAAGGGCUUGUUUUCAUUGCUCUGCUCAUGGGCACAAACAGUGACUCUGAAGUCUCGAAAACCCCAGCGCAGCACAACAGCCCAUUAUGUCACUGCGGUUUUGUUUUAAAAGGACAAAGAGGCAAGUUAGGACCCGAGCCUGCCGCCAGCCAGCCUUAAUGCCGCACUUUCCUUCUCCCUCUGGCUUAAUGGGAGAAAAACACUACCUAAAAGUCAUGAAGAAAAUCCCCAUCUUUUUGAAAAGCAGACCCGAGAUUAGGAAAUCUCAACAAUGAGUGGGAGUCUGUCCUCCAAGGAGAGCCUGCUGGCAUCCAAUUCAGGAACCAUGUGGUCCUCUUCAGGGUGUUGGUGGGACCAGGAGACGAAGGUCAGCAAAUACUCAGGACUGUUUAAACUCACACACUUACAGCUCCCUUGAUAAGCAGCAGUUCUAUAGUAACCAUUGCCAUGGUUAGACCUCCGUGCCCAAACACUGCCUGGGUUUCUGUGGCUUCCUUUAUGACUAUGAGCCAGCUAGGCCAUCUGGGUCUGGAGUAAGGUUCCCAGUCUUAGCUGGGAGAGGGCUGUUGGCAGAGGGGACCCAUGAGAACACACACACCUAGGACUUAUCUUUAUACAGUCAGGCUACUUUGUUAGCUUAAUAGUGUGAAUUAGGGA